AACGAACGCUGGCGGCAUGCCUAACACAUGCAAGUCGAACGAAGUCUUCGGACUUAGUGGCGCACGGGUGCGUAACGCGUGGGAAUCUGCCCUUGGGUGCGGAAUAACUUCUCGAAAGGGAUGCUAAUACCGCAUAAUGUCGUAAGACCAAAGAUUUAUCGCCCAAGGAUGAGCCCGCGUAAGAUUAGCUAGUUGGUGGGGUAAAAGCCUACCAAGGCGACGAUCUUUAGCUGGUCUGAGAGGAUGAUCAGCCACACUGGAACUGAAACACGGUCCAGACUCCUACGGGAGGCAGCAGUGGGGAAUCUUGCGCAAUGGACGAAAGUCUGACGCAGCCACGCCGCGUGAGUGAAGAAGGCCUCGG
rnacentral:rRNA from 1 species